rnacentral:rRNA from 1 species
UACAGAGGGUGCAAGCGUUAAUCGGAAUUACUGGGCGUAAAGCGUGCGUAGACGGUUACAUAAGUCGGGUGUGAAAGCCCCGGGCUCAACCUGGGAAUUGCAUUCGAGACUGCGUAGCUAGGGUGCGGAAGAGGGAAGCGGAAUUUCCGGUGUAGCGGUGAAAUGCGUAGAUAUCGCUUGGAACGCCGAAGGUGAAAACAGGCUGCUGGGGUUGCGCCGACGCUGAGACACGAAAGCCAGGGGAGCAAACGGG